rnacentral:rRNA from 1 species
UACGUAGGGCGCAAGCGUUGUCCGGAAUUAUUGGGCGUAAAGAGCUCGUAGGCGGUCUGUCGCGUCCGUUGUGAAACUCGAGGCUCAACCUCGGGCUUGCAGUGGAUACGGGCAGACUAGAGUGCGGUAGGGGAGGACUGGAAUUCCUGGUGUAGCGGUGGAAUGCGCAGAUAUCAGGAGGAACACCGAUGGCGAAGGCAGGAUCUCUGG